rnacentral:rRNA from 1 species
GACGAACGCUGGCGGCGUGCCUAAUACAUGCAAGUUGAGCGAUGAAGAUUGGUGCUUGCACCAAUUUGAAGAGCAGCGAACGGGUGAGUAACGCGUGGGGAAUCUGCCUUUGAGCGGGGGACAACAUUUGGAAACGAAUGCUAAUACCGCAUAACAACUUUAAACAUAAGUUUUAAGUUUGAAAGAUGCAAUUGCAUCACUCAAAGAUGAUCCCGCGUUGUAUUAGCUAGUUGGUGAGGUAAAGGCUCACCAAGGCAAUGAUACAUAGCCGACCUGAGAGGGUGAUCGGCCACAUUGGGACUGAGACACGGCCCAAACUCCUACGGGAGGCAGCAGUAGGGAAUCUUCGGCAAUGGACGAAAGUCUGACCGAGCAACGCCGCGUGAGUGAAGAAGGUUUUCGGAUCGUAAAACUCUGUUGGUAGAGAAGAACGUUGGUGAGAGUGGAAAGCUCAUCAAGUGACGGUAACUACCCAGAAAGGGACGGCUAACUACGUG